UACGAAGGGGGCUAGCGUUGCUCGGAAUCACUGGGCGUAAAGCGCACGUAGGCGGAUCUUUAAGUCAGUGGUGAAAUCCUGGAGCUCAACUCCAGAACUGCCUUUGAUACUGGGGAUCUCGAGUCCGGGAGAGGUGAGUGGAACUCCGAGUGUAGAGGUGAAGUUCGUAGAUAUUCGGAAGAACACCAGUGGCGAAGGCGGCUCACUGGCCCGGUACUGACGCUGAGGUGCGAAAGCGUGGGGAGCAAACAGG
rnacentral:rRNA from 1 species